rnacentral:lncRNA from 1 species
UGUUGAGUGACAUUGUUGAUUAUUGAUAAUAUGUUGAUGUGUGAUGAUGAAUACUAUGAUUUAUUUGUGUGGGCAUGUUUUCUUGAUAAUGCAAUGUUGUGGAGAUAAUCAAUAUAAUUGGGUGUUGUCCUAUAUAUUGAGUUGAGAUUGUGAUUUGUUGUCGCAUUAUCGAGUCCUUACACAUGUCCAUGCAUCAUAGUCGUUGUUGCUGUAAAAGGGAUGAAUCUUUUACUUCGAGAUUAUUGUAAGGC